CAGUAGCCGCGGUAAUACGUAGGGUGCAAGCGUUAAUCGGAAUUACUGGGCGUAAAGCGUGCGCAGGCGGUUCGGAAAGAAAGAUGUGAAAUCCCAGGGCUCAACCUUGGAACUGCAUUUUUAACUACCGGACUAGAGUAUGUCAGAGGGAGGUGGAAUUCCACGUGUAGCAGUGAAAUGCGUAGAUAUGUGGAGGAACACCGAUGGCGAAGGCAGCCUCCUGGGAUAAUACUGACGCUCAUGCACGAAAGCGUGGGGAGCAAACAGGAUUAGAUACCCCCGUAGUCCCUGUCUCUUAUAC
rnacentral:rRNA from 1 species